rnacentral:rRNA from 1 species
UACCAUCCGCUUUAAACGGGGAAGGUAGCUGCCACCUAACCUAACGGCGGACGGGUGAGUAUGCUUAGGAAUCUGCCUAUUAGUGGGGGACAACGUUUCGAAAGGAACGCUAAUACCGCAUACGUCCUACGGGAGAAAGCAGGGGAUCUUCGGACCUUGUGCUAAUAGAUGAGCCUAAGUCGGAUUAGCUAGUUGGUGGGGUAAAGGCCUACCAAGGCGACGAUCUGUAGCGGGUCUGAGAGGAUGAUCCGCCACACUGGGACUGAGACACGGCCCAGACUCCUACGGGAGGCAGCAGUGGGGAAUAUUGGACAAUGGGCGAAAGCCUGAUCCAGCCAUGCCGCGUGUGUGAAGAAGGCCUUUUGGUUGUAAAGCACUUUAAGCGAGGAGGAGGCUUCUUUGGUUAAUACCCAAAGUAAGUGGACGUUACUAAU